UUCCUGUUGGCUGGAUGGUUAUCGACAGAUAAGGCUACAAAAAUAAAUCCAAUUUGGUAUAGUGCUUGCAUGAUAACCAUAGUUUGACUAAAGAUGAAUUCGGCAUUCAAAUUUACCGCGGGGAUAAGAGAUACCACAUCCAUGCUCCAAGGCCUCUUGACGUUGGUGUUUAAGUUGGAGUCUUUGACUACUAGUGGAAGCUCGAGUUGGCCUUGGUAGUGGUGAUGAGAAGGAAAGGUAGUCCGGAGGCUUAAGGAAAACAGUGCUUUGCUUUGACCUAACUGAGGGAACAGCAUCAUUUUUCAAGCGUCAGCAAGUCAUAAAUUAAUAAAUAAUAAAUGUUUCUUUCUCUCUUAUAAAAUUUUACACAUACGAGCAAUCAUUAUUUCAUGGAAAAUAAAAAACCAGAAUAUUC
rnacentral:lncRNA from 1 species